AUUGAACGCUGGCGGCAUGCUUUACACAUGCAAGUCGAACGGUAACAGGCCGCAAGGUGCUGACGAGUGGCGAACGGGUGAGUAAUGCAUCGGAACGUGCCCAGUCGUGGGGGAUAACUACUCGAAAGAGUAGCUAAUACCGCAUACGAUCUAUGGAUGAAAGCGGGGGACCGUAAGGCCUCGCGCGAUUGGAGCGGCCGAUGUCAGAUUAGGUAGUUGGUGGGGUAAAGGCUCACCAAGCCAACGAUCUGUAGCUGGUCUGAGAGGACGACCAGCCACACUGGGACUGAGACACGGCCCAGACUCCUACGGGAGGCAGCAGUGGGGAAUUUUGGACAAGGGGCGCAAGCCUGAUCCAGCAAUGCCGCGUGCAGGAAGAAGGCCUUCGGGUUGUAAACUGCUUUUGUACGGAACGAAACGGCUCUGGUUAAUACCCGGGGCUAAUGACGGUACCGGAAGAAUAAGCACCGGCUAACUACGUG
rnacentral:rRNA from 1 species